rnacentral:rRNA from 1 species
GACGAACGCUGGCGGCGUGCCUAAUACAUGCAAGUAGAACGCACAGUUUAUACCGUAGCUUGCUACACCAUAGACUGUGAGUUGCGAACGGGUGAGUAACGCGUAGGUAACCUGCCUGGUAGCGGGGGAUAACUAUUGGAAACGAUAGCUAAUACCGCAUAAUAUUAAUUAUUGCAUGAUAAUUAAUUGAAAGGUGCAAUUGCACCACUACCAGAUGGACCUGCGUUGUAUUAGCUAGUAGGUGAGGUAACGGCUCACCUAGGCGACGAUACAUAGCCGACCUGAGAGGGUGAUCGGCCACACUGGGACUGAGACACGGCCCAGACUCCUACGGGAGGAAGCAGUAGGGAAUCUUCGGCAAUGGACGAAAGUCUGACCGAGCAACGCCGCGUGAGUGAAGAAGGUUGUCGGAUCGUAAAGCUCUGUUGUAAGAGAAGAACGGGUGUGAGAGUGGAAAGUUCACACUGUGACGGUAGCUUACCAGAAAGGGACGGCUAACUACGUG